AUGCCGGAGGGGGUUAAUAAUACAACUAUUGUGCUCAUUCCCAAAGUGAAAAAUCCCCAAUCAAUUAUAGAUUUUCGGCCAAUUAGUCUAUGCAAUGUCAUAUAUAAAAUUAUAUCCAAGUGUCUUGUUAACAGACUGAGGCCGUUGUUGGAUGGUAUGAUCUCUCCUACCCAAAGUGCCUUCAUUCCUGGAAGAUUAAUUUCUGAUAAUGCUCUUAUAGCUUUUGAGUGUAUGCAUUCGCUGAAUAUGCAAAAAGAUGGCAGGGGUGAAUUUUGUGCGUACAAAUUGGAUUUAGCUAAGGCUUAUGAUCGUGUGGAUUGGAAAUUUUUGGAAAGUAUGCUUCAUGCAUAUGGUUUUGCUCCAACUUGGGUCAAGUGGACUAUGACCUGCGUUACGUCAGUGAAUUACUCAGUGCGUUUUAAUGGCCAACUGCUGGACUCUUUUCAACCUUCGCGGGGUCUCAGGCAGGGGGAUCCUUUAUCUCCGUACUUGUUUCUGUUUGUGGAUGAGGCCCUUUCGCUGUUACUCAAUGAUGCUUCCGCGAGUGGGGCAAUCUAG
rnacentral:rRNA from 1 species